rnacentral:rRNA from 1 species
UACGAAGGGUGCAAGCGUUACUCGGAAUUACUGGGCGUAAAGCGUGCGUAGGUGGCGCCGUAAGUCAGGUGUGAAAUCUCGGGGCUCAACCCCGAAACUGCACUUGAUACUGCGGUGCUCGAGUACUGGAGAGGAGAUUGGAAUUUACGGUGUAGCAGUGAAAUGCGUAGAUAUCAUAAGGAAGACCAGUGGCGAAGGCGAAUCUCUGGACAGUUACUGACACUGAGGCACGAAGGCCAGGGGAGCAAACGGG